UUUUGCAAAAAUAUUUUGCCUUUAGUUCUCGACUCAUGCUCCUGGGACCUUAAUUGUUCUCGGAGCAGUGUUUGGAGGAGACCUCUACAAGAAGUUUAGGAGAAUCCCCGUACCUUAACAAUUUUUCUUCGGUUUUGGUGCUAACUGCUUGGUUCUUUCUUUUCUUGUCUCUUCCAGGUCUUUGAUCAUGGCUUGCGACAUCACAUGCUACCCGGAAGAUGCAGUAAAGGUGGGCCCCAUCGUCCUGGAGGGGCAUAAGCUUCCGACUGGCAACACGUGGGAAAUGAACGCUAAGAUAAACGAGUUCUGAAACUACCGGAUGUUGAACGAGUUGGAGAAAUCCUUUGGGAUAAAGUUGACUCCGUGGUUCUUCUUCAACAGGCUGGCCCAGAAAGAGAAGGCCCAUACUGGAGUGGGCGUAUUCGGGGCCUGGAGCACAUGCAACAUUAAUGCGGGAGCCAAUCUCCCGCUCCACGACUAUUUUGUGUGAUUUCUCAAGAUUUUGGGGAUCAUGCCAUUCCAACUCUUGCCUCAAAAUUACAAGUUGCUUGCGGGGUGGCAUGCAUUUUGCACUUGGAAUGAGAUGUCUGAGCCCACCCCCGCGAAGGUCUUGUACUACUAUCGGUUGGAGCCGCAGCUGAACUCCAAGGAUAAGACGUGGGAUGAGUUUUACCGAUUGAAGAGUCGUAAUGUCUGUUUGGCUCCCUACAACUCCUGGAAACACCCUCCGGAUGUUAGACACUACUGGUUUAUGACAUUCGGGUUCCUUUUGGAGAAGAAUCUCACUUUAGUAUUGGAUUUUAAGCGUGUGGGUAAGUUAUCCUUUCCCAUUCUAUGUCUCGUCUUUUUUUAUAUAGGAUAUUCAUGUUCCUUUGAACAGGUCCAUAUGCUCAGCCCGGCUAACCAAGUUCAUCUUGGACCGGAAGAAAAUAUAUGUCACCACGAAGAUUUGGAUGUGGGGGGUUAGUAAGCACGGAGAAUCUUCGGCUGUUUGGGUUGUUUGCCAGCCAUCAAUCGAUAGACGCCCCCAACGUCUGGGGACUGCAAUGCGAGAUGGACCCUACUCUGAGGAAAGAGUUGGGCCUCAUUCACAUUGAGGAGGCAGAGGCCACAGUUGGGGCAGACACAAAGAGGUUGAAGGUGGAGCGGGCCGAGUCCGAGGAGUUGGAUGCCUUGCUUGAGGGGAGGUAGCCCAACACUGGAGCUCCCGGGGCCAACAUCUCGAGGCAAGGUAAAAUGCCUCCAUUUUUUACUUAUGCUCGUCAUAUUGAGGGCUUUGUUAGGAAUAGGGAACGACAUCGGGACUAUUUAACCGGGAUUAUUAGCUAUGUGGGGCUUCCUUACCCUAUUGCCGUGGACACGCUGACCUUCAUGCAUUCGUUCUGGUUUCUUUAAUACGGUAGCUUUUUGGGCCUAGAUUACAUGGAGGAUCAAAUUCAUGCUUUUUCCCUAGGAGAAUUUAGUUGGGCCUGUUCCAUAGAUAAGGGUCUGUCCCGGAAGACUUAGACUUGCAUGUUUCUUUUGUAUUUUUCCUUCCCGCGUUGUUACUAAUCUGUAUUUUGUUCUUACUUCAGGUGAACUAAACAUGACUGAACCUGUGGCCUAGAUGAAAGAAAUGAUUGAGCCAGGGCUGCCAAGGCCAAGGCGUCAGCGAAGAAGGCCGGCAAGGGUCUGGCCAGGACGAAGAUCAUUAUUUGAUGUUCGAGUCCACAGAACCGGUCGCGGGGGCCCAAGAGGGAGCUUAGGUUGCCGACCCGACCAUUAUGGCAUAUGUUGAGCAGCAUCUACCCUAACCUACACCUCUUCAAGUCAUAAAUUUGGAGUGUGAACCUCUGGUAGAAGGCAGGGUGAGUAAAAGGAAGACGGACGCCACUACCUUGCCGUCCACAAAGCGGGCCAGGAAGGACAAGAUAGUGGGGUACUCCAUUGUGAAUGAGACAUACUCCCCUGAAGAUGGCCUUAUUAUUAGACUGAAGGUCCUAGACUCUCCCAUGCUCCCAUCCACCAGGCUCUUCCUGGGGAAGGGAGUCGGUCGUCAGGAUGAGGAUGGUAUCCCGGGCUUGAGAUGAGGGGCGCGACAAACGGGACGAGGUGGCCCAGGCUCUGAUUAAUCGCUGAAACGUUGAGUUCUCCUAGUGUCCCGAGGCUUUUAACGCUCCCCUACAGAUCGUGGAUUGGUUCGGAGCUGAGAUUGGAUUUCGGCCUACGUUGGGGCAGGACGUGGCCCUGUUCGCUGCGGACUUGCUGGCCCAGGUGGGGAGAUCAAUGUCCUUCCUUCGGCUCAAAUGCUACGCCACUCUAGCUAGUAAUGAUGCCCUCUUCAUUGCCCAGGCCAUCUGUCAUCAGGCCACGGUGGAGGCACUGUUGGCUUAUAGGAAUGCGGACUUGGUGGCCGAGAUGGCCAUGAAGCUGGAGACGACCCAGAUGGAGCUAGAGGGGGUCGUUAACCAACGGGAAGCUGCCAAGGAGGCCUUCACCGAGGAGACUGCCCGGGUUCAAGCUCAGCAUGAGGAAACUUUGUCCAGGAAGGAUGUUGACCACACAAGAAGGUGGAGGACAACCUAGAGGUAGAAUUGUUCCGUGCCCGCGGCUCAGAAGCUUCGACCAAGGUACUCUUAUAGGCGACUGAGGCCCAACUUCGUUAAGAGCAUGAGAAGGUGAAAUCUCUCAGGGCCCAAGUCCAGGCUUUGGAGGUCCAGGCCCAGCUGGAGUUGAAGCGGAGCGAGGAGGCUCGCAAAGAAAAGGAGCAAGCUGAAGAGUUGCUGGCGACCACUUUUAAUGAAGCCAUUUACAUGGCUUGGCUCUAGGGCAAGAAUAUGAAUCUCCUCGUCUAUUAUGAUUUGGCUGUAAAGAGGGCCGAGUUUGAGGCCAAGAAGAAAGAAGAUGCGAAGCUCCUUGCUGAGGAUCCAUAGGAUGAAGCUGCUCCAGAUGUUCCGGAUCAUAGCCCAGACCUGAGCCUUUGUAAUUUUAUUUAGGACUUCCUCUCUCUUUUUUUUAUUCUUUUUAUAACAUAUCUUUUACUGGCGCGGAUGCGCUUAAGACAAUGAUUUAUCUUAUUAUCCUGUUAUUAUAUUGGUUUCUAUCCUUGAACAAUGAUUUCUCGCUUUA